rnacentral:rRNA from 1 species
UACGGAGGGGGCGAGCGUUGUCCGAAUUUAUUGGGCGUAAAGCGCGUGUAGGCGGACCUAUAAGCCUGGGGUGAAAGGUUGGGGCUCAACCCCAUACAGUGCCCUGGGGACUGUGGGUCUGGAGGCAGGCAGAGGAGUGUGGAAUUCCUGGUGUAGCGGUGGAAUGCGUAGAGAUCAGGAAGAACACCCAUGGCGAAGGCAGCACUCUGGGCCUGUACUGACGCUGAGACGCGAAAGCGCGGGGAGCGAACGGG